UUAAAUUCGAUUUUAAUUAGUUAAUUAAUUAUAAUUGAGUGUAAAAAAGAAUAGCUAAUAACAGAAAAAAUAAUUAAAAAAUUGCAUAAACAGAAAAAGAAUACGGACAGAAUAUAAAAUAAAUAAAUAAAAUGCGUAAUAACCUAAAUAAAGUGAAAAUUAGCGGAAAUAAAAAGAGUAUUUAAAUGAUGGAAAUAAAUUAAAAAUGCAUAAAUAAAAAUACAAAAUUAAAAGAGUCUAACAGUGAAAACAUCCUCAAGCCAAGACUCCAGUCUUGGAUCUAAGAUCCUUGAUGGAAUAUCUUGAUCGGGUGAUUCUUUAACGGCUAGAAAAAUGGAAAAGGAUAGAUAGAGGGUUUUGGCCUUUUUAGAUCUAAGAUCAUCAGAUUUUGGUUGGGUUUUUGGGGAUUUGGUUAGUAGGAUGAGUUUUAGGAGGAUGAGAGGAGUAUAUGGUGUGAGUUUGAGGGGUUUUCGAGUUCCAAUGCCGCCUUGGGUGAUUUUCGCCGGCGGAGUAGUGGGUGGUGGGAGAGUUUCGGCCACUAUUUUGUUUUAGAGGUGUUGGUUUUUUGUGUGUUUAGUUUGUGGGGGGAGGCAGAGGAGGAGAAGAGGAGUAGAUUAAAGUUAUUUUGGGAUUGGAGGUCGGUCGCAGCUGGUGGAGAAGGGUGGCGACAAUGAGAGAAGGGAGAGAGGGGGGCGGCUAGGGUUUAUGAUUUGGGAGAGAAUGAGGAGUUUGGAAAUGAGGGGAGAGGGAGGAGGGAGAUUUUAGGACACUUUUAUAUUAAAAGGAGGGGUGAG
rnacentral:lncRNA from 1 species